ACAGCAGUAGCCGCGGGAAUACGUAGGGUGCAAGCGUUAAUCGGAAUUACUGGGCGUAAAGCGUGCGCAGGCGGUUUUGUAAGACAGAGGUGAAAUCCCCGGGCUCAACCUGGGAACUGCCUUUGUGACUGCAAGGCUAGAGUACGGCAGAGGGGGAUGGAAUUCCGCGUGUAGCAGUGAAAUGCGUAGAUAUGCGGAGGAACACCGAUGGCGAAGGCAAUCCCCUGGGCCUGUACUGACGCUCAUGCACGAAAGCGUGGGGAGCAAACAGGAUUAGAUACCCCUGUAGUCCCUGUCUCUUAUAU
rnacentral:rRNA from 1 species